rnacentral:lncRNA from 13 species
AUGAAGGAGGGAGACGAGGCUGCCCAGUUCCCGGCUCUAAGCACUGUUCCCGUUUGUGCUGCUAUCUUGGACGACCCCAUGGAGUGCAGCAGAGGGGAGCGGCUCUCCAUCACCCUGGCCAAGAACCGCAUCAACCGCGCUCCUGAGAGGCUGGGCAAGGCCAAGGUCGAAGUGGACAUCUUUGAGCUUCUCAGAGACAGCGAGUACGAGACUGCAGAAACCAUGUGUCAGAUCCUCCCCAAGGGGGUGGUCGCUGUCCUCGGGCCAUCGUCCAGCCCAGCCUCCAGCUCCAUCAUCAGCAACAUCUGUGGAGAGAAGGAGGUCCCUCACUUCAAAGUGGCCCCAGAGGAGUUUGUCAAGUUUCAGUUCCAGAGAUUCACAACCCUGAACCUCCACCCCAGCAACACUGACAUCAGCGUGGCUGUAGCUGGGAUCCUGAACUUCUUCAACUGUACCACCGCCUGCCUCAUCUGUGCCAAAGCAGAAUGCCUUUUAAACCUAGAGAAGCUGCUCCGGCAAUUCCUCAUCUCCAAGGACACGCUCUCCGUCCGCAUGCUGGAUGACACCCGGGACCCCACCCCCCUCCUCAAGGAGAUCCGGGAUGACAAGACCGCCACCAUCAUCAUCCAUGCCAACGCCUCCAUGUCCCACACCAUCCUCCUGAAGGCAGCCGAACUUGGGAUGGUGUCAGCCUAUUACACAUACAUCUUCACUAAUCUGGAGUUCUCACUCCAGAGAAUGGACAGCCUUGUGGAUGAUCGUGUCAACAUCCUGGGAUUUUCCAUUUUCAACCAAUCCCAUGCUUUCUUCCAAGAGUUUGCCCAGAGCCUCAACCAGUCCUGGCAGGAGAACUGUGACCAUGUGCCCUUCACUGGGCCUGCGCUCUCGUCGGCCCUGCUGUUUGAUGCGGUCUACGCUGUGGUGACUGCGGUGCAGGAACUGAACCGGAGCCAGGAGAUCGGCGUGAAGCCCCUGUCCUGUGGCUCGGCCCAGAUCUGGCAGCACGGCACCAGCCUCAUGAACUACCUGCGCAUGGUAGAAUUGGAAGGUCUUACCGGCCACAUUGAAUUCAACAGCAAAGGCCAGAGGUCCAACUAUGCCUUGAAAAUCUUACAGUUCACGAGGAAUGGUUUUCGGCAGAUCGGCCAGUGGCACGUGGCAGAGGGCCUCAGCAUGGACAGCCGCCUCUACGCCUCCAACAUCUCAGACACACUCUUCAACACCACCCUGGUCGUCACCACCAUCCUGGAAAACCCGUAUUUAAUGCUGAAGGGGAACCACCAGGAGAUGGAAGGCAAUGACCGCUACGAGGGCUUCUGUGUGGACAUGCUCAAGGAGCUGGCAGAGAUCCUCCGAUUCAACUACAAGAUCCGCCUGGUUGGGGAUGGCGUGUAUGGCGUUCCCGAGGCCAACGGCACCUGGACGGGAAUGGUCGGGGAGCUGAUCGCUAGGAAAGCAGAUCUGGCUGUGGCAGGCCUCACCAUUACAGCUGAACGGGAGAAGGUGAUUGAUUUCUCUAAGCCAUUCAUGACUCUGGGAAUUAGCAUUCUUUACCGCGUUCAUAUGGGACGCAAACCCGGCUAUUUCUCCUUCCUGGACCCGUUUUCUCCAGGCGUCUGGCUCUUCAUGCUUCUAGCCUAUCUGGCUGUCAGCUGUGUCCUCUUCCUGGUGGCUCGGUUGACGCCCUACGAGUGGUACAGCCCACACCCAUGUGCCCAGGGCCGGUGCAACCUCCUGGUGAACCAGUACUCCCUGGGCAACAGCCUCUGGUUUCCAGUUGGGGGCUUCAUGCAGCAAGGCUCUACCAUCGCCCCUCGCGCCUUGUCCACCCGCUGUGUCAGUGGAGUCUGGUGGGCAUUCACGCUGAUCAUCAUCUCAUCCUACACGGCCAACCUGGCAGCCUUCCUGACCGUGCAACGCAUGGAUGUGCCCAUUGAGUCAGUGGAUGACCUGGCUGACCAGACCGCCAUUGAGUAUGGCACAAUUCACGGAGGCUCCAGCAUGACCUUCUUCCAAAAUUCCCGCUACCAGACCUACCAACGCAUGUGGAAUUACAUGUAUUCCAAGCAGCCCAGUGUGUUUGUGAAGAGCACAGAGGAGGGAAUCGCCAGGGUGUUGAAUUCCAACUAUGCCUUCCUCCUGGAGUCCACCAUGAACGAGUACUAUCGGCAGCGCAACUGCAACCUCACUCAGAUUGGGGGCCUGCUGGACACCAAGGGCUAUGGGAUUGGCAUGCCAGUCGGCUCGGUUUUCCGGGAUGAGUUUGAUCUGGCCAUUCUCCAGCUGCAGGAGAACAACCGCCUGGAGAUACUGAAGCGAAAAUGGUGGGAAGGAGGGAAGUGCCCCAAGGAGGAAGAUCACAGAGCUAAAGGCCUGGGAAUGGAGAAUAUUGGUGGAAUCUUUGUGGUUCUUAUUUGUGGCUUAAUCGUGGCCAUUUUUAUGGCUAUGUUGGAGUUUUUAUGGACUCUCAGACACUCAGAAGCAACUGAGGUGUCCGUCUGCCAGGAGAUGGUGACCGAGCUGCGCAGCAUCAUCCUGUGUCAGGACAGUAUCCACCCCCGCCGGAGGCGCGCCGGAGUCCCGCCGCCCCGGCCCCCAAUCCCGGAGGAGCGUCGGCCCCGGGGCACCGCGACGCUCAGCAACGGGAAGCUGUGCGGGGCGGGGGAGCCCGACCAGCUCGCGCAGAGACUGGCGCAGGAGGCCGCCCUGGUGGCCCGCGGCUGCACGCACAUCCGCGUGUGCCCCGAGUGCCGCCGCUUCCAGGGCCUGCGGGCACGGCCGUCGCCCGCCCGCAGCGAGGAGAGCCUGGAGUGGGAGAAGACCACCAACAGCAGCGAGCCCGAGUAGCCCCGGCGGCUGCAGGACGCGCGGAGGCCGGCCGGGCGGGAGGGGCGGGGCGGGCGCCGCUGUCCGCCGAGAGCUCGGACUUGUACAGCGUAGACACCUCUCCGGAUUUCGGAUCCAGUCACUUUUUUUCAAAAAGAUCAAAGAGCCUGACGCCCCAGCCAGAGACCGCGCCCGGUCAGGGAGCGGGGUCCACCCGGAGACGUUGCACCCAAGUGGCAAAGGACCCCUCUUCUCCCAGCGGGCCUUUCCCUCUCGCCAAAAUAACGGAGUAUAGGGUGUGGGGUCCCUGGCUAGACCAGUCCAAUGAAUUGGUGGAAUCAUCAGUUGAAUUUCCCCCUAGGAAGGGGCCAAUGUACCCUCCGUCUAGUUCGUUCAGAAAAAAAAAAAAUUAAACUAAACAGGGAAGUUUUCUUUUCUGGAUUUGUAUAUUUUUGUUCAUGUUUUUUUCUUUUUUCUUUCCUCCUCUUUUCUUCUUUGUCAUCUUCUCAGUUCUGUUCAUUUGUUUUGUGGUUUUUGAAGGGGGAGGCUGGGUUAGGGAAUGGAAGUCUAAAUAAUCCCUAUUUCUUCUUUUUCCUGACCUUUGGAAUAUUGAGUCACCAGUGCAUCCGAUUUCAGGUGCUUAACUCUUUUCUGUGUGGUGAGUGAGGGGAACAGGAGAAGGGGUCUUGGGGAGAAUCAGAUGGAGAGCCUCAAAUAAAAGUCCAUUGAAGUAAAUUUUUAGAUGCCA